UACAGAGGGUGCAAGCGUUAAUCGGAAUUACUGGGCGUAAAGCGCGCGUAGGUGGUUUGUUAAGUUGGAUGUGAAAGCCCCGGGCUCAACCUGGGAACUGCCUUUGUGACUGCAUGGCUAGAGUGCGGCAGAGGGGGAUGGAAUUCCGCGUGUAGCAGUGAAAUGCGUAGAUAUAUGAAGGAACACCAGUGGCGAAGGCGACCACCUGGACUGAUACUGACACUGAGGUGCGAAAGCGUGGGGAGCAAACAGG
rnacentral:rRNA from 1 species